CUCGAACGUAAGAUGACUGUAGGUGAAAGCUUACAUCUCUUCGGAGCAUUUUACGAGGUGCUGCAUGGUUGUCGUCAGCUCGUGCCGUGAGGUGUCGGUUAAGUCCCAUAACGAGCGCAACCCCUACCUUUAGUUGCCAUCAGGUAAUGCUGGGGACUCUAAAGGAACUGCCUACGCAAGUAGUGAGGAAGCGGGGAUGACGUCAAAUCAGCACGGCCCUUACGUCCAGGGCUACACACGUGCUACAAUGGCCGAUACAGAGGGCAGCUACCUGGUGACAGGAUGCAAAUCUCCAAAGUCGGUCUCAGUUCGGAUCGGAGUCUGCAACCCGACUCCGUGAAGUUGGAUUCGCUAGUAAUCGCGCAUCAGCCAUGGCGCGGUGAAUACGUUCCCGGGCCUU
rnacentral:rRNA from 1 species